rnacentral:rRNA from 1 species
GACGAACGCUGGCGGCGUGCCUAAUACAUGCAAGUUGAGCGCUGAAGGUUGGUCCUUGUACCAACUGGAUGAGCAGCGAACGGGUGAGUAACGCGUGGGGAAUCUGCCUUUGAGCGGGGGACAACAUUUGGAAACGAAUGCUAAUACCGCAUAACAACUUUAAACACAAGUUUUAAGUUUGAAAGAUGCAAUUGCAUCACUAAAAGAUGAUCCCGCGUUGUAUUGGCUAGUUGGUGAGGUAAAGGCUCACCAAGGCGAUGAUACAUAGCCGACCUGAGAGGGUGAUCGGCCACAUUGGGACUGAGACACGGCCCAAACUCCUACGGGAGGCAGCAGUAGGGAAUCUUCGGCAAUGGACGAAAGUCUGACCGAGCAACGCCGCGUGAGUGAAGAAGGUUUUCGGAUCGUAAAACUCUGUUGGUAGAGAAGAACGUUGGUGAGAGUGGAAAGCUCAUCAAGUGACGGUAACUACCCAGAAAGGGACGGCUAACUACGUG